UUACGGCCAUAUCACAUUGAAACACUGCUUCUCAUAUGAUCACAAAAGUUAAGCAAUGACGAGCCUGGUCAGUACCUAGAUGGAUGAAUGCUUGGGAAUACCAUGUGCUGUAAG